GAGCGCUUCGAGGGUGACUGCGUACCUUUUGUAUAAUGGGUCAGCGACUUAUAUUUUGUAGCGAGGUUAACCGAUUAGGGUAGCCGUAGGGAAACCGAGUCUUAACUGGGCGUAUAGUUGCAAGGUAUAGACCCGAAACCCGGUGAUCUAGCCAUGGGCAGGUUGAAGGUUGAGUAACAUCAACUGGAGGACCGAACCCACUAACGUUGAAAAGUUAGGGGAUGACCUGUGGCUAGGAGUGAAAGGCUAAUCAAACCGGGAGAUAGCUGGUUCUCCCCGAAA
rnacentral:rRNA from 1 species